rnacentral:rRNA from 1 species
AGAGUUUGAUCAUGGCUCAGGACGAACGCUUGCGGCGUGCCUAAGAAAUGCAAGUCGAACGGAUGGCUUCGGCCAUUAGUGGCGAACGGUCGCGUAACACGUAGGCAACCUGCCCAGAAGUGGGGGACAACAGCCUGAAAGGGCUGCUAAUACCGCAUGUGGUUGUUUGAAGGCAUCUUUAAACAACUAAAGCUUAAUGCGCUUCUGGAUGGGCUUGCGGCCUAUCAGGUAGUUGGUGAGGUAAAGGCUCACCAAGCCGACGACGGGUAGCUGGUCUGAGAGGAUGGUCAGCCACAUUGGAACUGAGACACUGUCCAGACUCCUACGGGAGGCUGCAGUCGAGAAUCUUGGGCAAUGCACGAAAGUGUGACCCAGCGACGCCGCGUGAAGGAUGAAGGCCCUCUGGGUCGUAAACUUCUUUUAUGGGGAAAGAAAAGCUCGCAAGAGCCUUGACGGUACCCCAUGAAUAAGCCACGGCUAACUACGUGCCAGCAGCCGCGGUAAUACGUAGGUGGCAAGCGUUGUCCGGAUUUACUGGGCGUAAAGCGUAUGCAGGCGGAUGGUUAAGUCCAAGGUGAAAGGUAGGAGCUCAACUCCUACACUGCCUCGGAUACUGGCCGUCUUGAGUAGCGGAGAGGAAGAUGGAACAAGUUGUGUAGCGGUGAAAUGCGUUGAUAUAACUUGGAACACCAAUGGCGAAAGCAAUCUUCUGGACGCAAACUGACGCUGAGAUACGAAAGCUAAGGUAGCAAACAGGAUUAGAUACCCUGGUAGUCC